GACGAACGCUGGCGGCGUGCUUAACACAUGCAAGUCGAGCGGUAAGGGUCUUUCGGGGUACACGAGCGGCGAACGGGUGAGUAACACGUGGGUGACCUGCCUUUAGCUUCGGGAUAAGCCUGGGAAACCGGGUCUAAUACCGGGAUAUGACCUCAUGUCGCAUGGUGUGGGGUGGAAAGGUUACUUCGGCUAGAGGUGGGCCUGCGGCCUAUCAGCUUGUUGGUGGGGUGAUGG
rnacentral:rRNA from 1 species